rnacentral:rRNA from 1 species
GAUGAACGCUGGCGGCGUGCUUAACACAUGCAAGUCGAACGGAAAGGCCAGUGCUUGCACUGGUACUCGAGUGGCGAACGGGUGAGUAACACGUGGGUGAUCUGCCCUGCACUUCGGGAUAAGCCUGGGAAACUGGGGCUAAUACCGGAUAGGACAAUGGUUUGGAUGCCGUUGUGGAAAGAUUUUUCGGUGUGGGAUGAGCUCGCGGCCUAUCAGCUUGUUGGUGGGGUAAUGGCCUACCAAGGCGUCGACGGGUAGCCGGCCUGAGAGGGUGUACGGCCACAUUGGGACUGUGAGACGGCCCAGACUCCUACGGGGGGCAGCAGUGGGGAAUAUUGCACAAUGGGCGCAAGCCUGAUGCAGCGACGCCGCGUGGGGGAUGACGGCCUUCGGGUUGUAAACUCCUUUCGCUAGGGACGAAGCGUAUUUGUGACGGUACCUGGAGAAGAAGCACCGGCUAACUACGUG